AAAGGAAAAGAAGGUGAGGAUAGAAGGGGCCAGUAGGGAUUGAAGAUUAAAAAUGUGGCAAAGCACACAUCUCAACCCAGUGCUGUCAGAGAGUCUGCCCACAGCUCGUCUUGAAAGAAGCACACGCUUCCAGACACAGACUUUCAGUCCCCAUGGAAGAGAAGCACAGUCAACCAAGGCCACAGACUUCACCAGUAUGAGGCCCCUGGCAACUUCACACGACCUAACUGAACUCUCUCAAGCCAUCCUUUCAAAAGGAAUGAAAAUUGAGGUCUCUUGUUUUAUGCUGAAGACUCUACGAUGCCUGCAGAGUCAGGAACUCUGGAAUCUUAGGUGUCCUCCUUACAUAUCCAUCUCCAUCACCCUUGGCUGAACAUGCUGAGAAAGAAUGACCCGGCAUGCAUGCAGAGAAGAGUCACUACUUUCUGUGUUCAAACAUGUUCGGGCCCUGUGUACACACUCUAUGCAUCACCCAGCACGGUCCUGUUUUUGUGUAGCGUGGCUUCAUUCUUUUGCAAUUCUACUCCCAG
rnacentral:lncRNA from 1 species